CUGAAGAGCCUAAAGUCCCGUUCCACUAUAAAAAGGGAAGUCGGGCAGGAUUCUUUUUGGCAGAUUUCUCGGAUGAAAAUACAAUGCAAAUGCAGCAAUGUUAUAUCUGAGAACCGUUUACUGAUACAAAAGGCACAUGAAGGGGCAGUGUCAGAAACAACAGGAGUACAGGCUGGCCUUUGACAUCACACUCAAGGCCUGCAAAGUAAGUCCAUCAGCUUGUUCUGUUGUUUUGCUCUUUUUUUUCUCUGCUGUAUUUUGUAUUUUGGAAUUGUUUUUUUCCAAUGGGCUGAUAUAAAGAAUGAUUUAUGUAGGUCCAUUGAAUGAAAUCAGCUUGUGAAAUGCUGUCUAAUAGCAACAAAAUGCUAUGUCAAACUUAAGGUAAUGAUUUAUCACAGUUCCUGCUCAUUGGCAGGAAUACUCUGGUUGUUUGAGAUAGAAACCCUGGCAGACUCUCAGACAUUUAUCUACCAGUAAAAUUCAGUUUUUGGUGUGUUAUCUGGAACAGACAUUUUGAGGGUCAGACAUACAUCACAAAGCUCAGGAUCGUGCACUGGUGAUACUAAAAGUCAGGGGGUUUUUUGAGUGAUCUCAGACUCUUCCUUUAGUUCAACCUUCUUCCCAUUUUUAUAACUAUGUGUCACGUCCAAGUAACUCUGAGGCAGAAACACAGACUGGGCAAGUCUGAUUUCAUUGCCAUGGAUGAUCAUCUUAAAAGAAAAUGAUCAGCGGAUUGUUUGAUCAACGCAUUUCAAACACCACUACUAAAACAAAACAGUGUUCUUUGUGCAGUUUUAUUUUUUUCAUACUGAUUUUUUUUCUGCUAGGAAAAUCUAGUGCAGGAUUGCUUAAUGUAGCGUGUCCUGUCAGUGAGACCAGUUAUUUGAGGAAAUCUGCUCUCCUUCCCAGGCACAUGCACUCCCUCAUAAAUUGAUUGACAAAAUCAUAGAAUCAUAGAGUAGUUUGUAUUGGAAGGAACUGUAAAUGUCACCUAGUUCCAACCCUCUGCCAUGGGCAGGAUCACCUCCCUCUAGAGCAGGUUGCUCAGAGCUCCAUCCACUCUGUCCUUGAACAGCACCUUGGGCAACCUGUUUCACUGCCUCAGAGAGCUCACAGAACCUGCCUUUUUUCAGUUUAAAGUCAUUAUUCCUAUUCCAAGCCCUUGUCAAAAAUUUUCUUGUAGGUCCCAUUUAGGUAUUACAUACCACCCUUUGAGAAGGAUUUUGAGGGUGUAAAGAGUUUUUUAGCUAGUAAAUAUAAUUUGUCUCUUCACACUUUAUCAUGUCAUAGCUCCCUAGAAAUUAAGCAAUCAAGUAGAUAAAUUAAUUUGCCAUAGUAUUGGUAUGGCUGGGAGAGGCAACUGGGAGAUCAGGUGACUUAAUUCUUAGACUUAACUCUGCAGGUCUUACCUGUUUGUGUGUCCCUGUAGCUACUGGUUAUUAUGAGAGGGUUUGGACUGCACUGUUAGCUUAUUUCUCUGAUUAUUUUCUAAGAUAAAGCUUCAGAAAGUUUAAACAGGUGGGGGAAUAGUUUUCUUUAUUUUGUUAACAUAGUAUAAAGUGCAUGUACAUUUAGUUUACCAAACACUUUUCUUCUGGGACCACAAUGGAACAGUUUGUGGAAACAUCUGAUUUUUACAGCUUGAGACCAGGGGAGGCUAAAAGACAGAGACCAUGAAUGAAGUGUGCUCCAGCACAGCAUGGUGAGACAAGGCUUGGAUAAUCACUUAGAGCUGACUUCAGACCUAUCUGCAGACUCAGGAGGCCUUCCAAACCUGGGCCAGAAUCCUGUAACUAUCACUGCAUCCACUGUUUCUCUUUUUGCUAAUAAACAUUGAUGCCAGUGUGUAGAAAAUAAGCUGAUGAUUUGUCUAAAAGGACAGCACCACUGAGACAGAGACUACCAGCAAUAACGGUUGCAGCUUUGUUCCGUUUGUUCCCAGCCAUUUUGAUGUUUUGCUGCUCCAUCCACACAAAGUUAGGUGUGUUCAGCAAGAGCUGUCCUUCAGCUGGUGAAAGUUAUGUCACUUUUUAGAAGCCAGUCUCUUGCUAUGAGACCUUUCUAGUGCAUGAGCUGGUGGCUGUUGCCCACUGCAAGUCAGAAGGUAACAUGAAACAUGCUUAACACUGAACAAAAAGAAGUGUCCUGAUUUGCAGAGCUGACUAGCCUGACAAGAUUUUGUGGUGCUCUAGGAGUGCUGUGUGACACAGUUGAUAGGUUAUAAAUGCCAAAUUUCAUAACUAGUCUGGUUUUGGUUUUAUGCUUUUGUGGGUUUUGUUUUUUUUUUUUUUUACUUUUCAAUGGAUAGAAUGUGAUUACACCAAGAGAGCCCUACUGUUCACGCACCUCUUCUCUUAACUACUGCUAACUUUUGUGCCAUAUUUAUUCCUGAAUGGUUAGUAAUUAUCUACAGUGCGUCUUUUAAGGGUGUGGUGUAAUGUGUGGCUUUUACUCUGCUAGAAUGGCUCCACUUCCGAAAUCACAUGCAUCAGGUAGGUGACACCUUUAGAUGACCUGUAAAUUUACUUUAACUUCUUUAAUUGCCAUGACCAUAUAAACACAAUCUAAGGUUUCAAACCAUCAGUGUAAUCUGUUCCUCAUCAGAUGUAAUUUUUUUUUUAAUCAGGAAGAUCUUGUUUUUCACCCCAUCACCUGCUGGGUUUGCCUCACUUUUAUUUUAUGCUGUCUCCAAGUACUGUGAACAGCAGUUUGGAAUAGAAAAGGGGGGCUGGAUCCUGCUUUGCCGUCCUAUUGAGCAGCAGCAGGAGAAAAAGCAUCCCAUUUUUGGUGGUAAUGCAUAGCUGAGACAAUUUGUGUGGUUAAGCGAGGCCUGUGGGCUGCAAUAGCCAGUGUCGCUUCUGCCCCACUCCUUUGCUUCUUGGCUGAUGCAAGGAGGUGCCUUCCUCUUGCUGCUCAGCUUUCACUGCUGUGUGGAAUCAGGAUAGGAAAGCAUGCCACAACAUUCUGUAGGAGAGUUUCCCUACAGUGCUUUCCCCUGACAGAACAGGUUUCUUCUGGCCUCAACAAGGGGAUUGGCAACAGCACACUGAAGAGCCUCAUCACAGCUCGACAGCCUAGAUAGGCUGCUAUGGUCACAGGCCCACCACACCACUGGACUGGAGGCACUGCUGGCAGUCCCUAGUCCAGUGCCACACUCAGAGCAAGGUCACAUUGAACAGGUUUUUCAUGUGUUUAACACAAGUUUCCUGUACUUUGUGUCAAAUUGCUUCUGUCAUUGGAUACCACUGAGAAAAGUCUGUUUUCUUCACUCACCUCAUUAAAUGUUUAUAUAUAAGGAUAACAUUCCCCAUUGGGCUUCUACAGGAUAAACAGUUCCAUCUCUUUCAGCUUUCCCUUGUGUGAGAGAUGCCCUGGUCCAUUCAUCAUGCUUGUAGCCCUUUUCUGUAUUCCUCCAGUCUGUACUGUACUGUAAAAGGUAUUGAUGUGUCCAGGAGUGGACUUAGCAUUCCAGGCAUGUCUCACCAGGGCUGAUCACAGAGGAAAGAUCAGCUCUUGAACUGCUGGUAACAGUCCUCUUAAUGCAGUUCAGGAGGCUAUUUGACAUAUUUGUCAUGAGGGCAGAUUACUGGGUUGUGGUGAGCUUGGUGUCUACUGGGGCCCAUGGUCCUUCCCUGCCAAACUGUUUUUCAGCUGGGUGACACCUGCAUAUACAGGCUGAGCCUGGUUCUCUCAAUGCAGGACUUUCAACUUCUCUUUAUUCAAUUUCAUGAGCUUUCUCUUGGCAUUUUUCUACAAACUUUUGAGGGUCCUCUGAAUGGUGGCACAGCCCUCUGGUGUACAGAAGUGCACAAGCUACCCUGCAAAACUUCCUGUUACUCUUGCCAUUUGGCUUCUUUCAGCUUGCCAAGUUCCUCAGCUUCCCUCAGCAGCUGUUUUCCAGUUACUCCAUUAGUCUCAGCAUCUCUAAUCUUCAGAUCUUCUCCAUGCCAGAGACACUGAAAGUCCAGCAUUAGCUCUCCUACUGGGUUUUGUCUCUACUGUGUAUUCUUAACCCCAGUGCUCCUGCUCCCCUCAAGCUCUGUACCCUACUCGUAUUAGGUACAGUAAUUUCAACAUGUAAUUAUGCACAUGUGGUUGUCUGCGCUUUAGGAAUUAGGACAAAGAGAACAAUGCAGUGAGUGCCCAAGCCCAUAUGCUGGAGAUAGUUUCUAUUGCCCUAUUAGUCCUCUUUUCCCUCUGUGGCAGCCAAAUUCUAGCUAAGGCUCUUGAGUUUUGUUUUUAGGAGACGAAACUUUGCCUUUAGCUGGCUUGGUGCUACUUACCUGUCACUCCUGGAGGCUCCUUGGAGUGUCUCACCAGGACUCAGGUAAAGGACACGAUGAAGCCCAUGAGUUACCCAAGCUCAAAUAUUUGACAGGCAAAAAUGAGCAGACCAACUUAGCUAAGGAACGGCUACUCACGUGCUUUGUUGGAUCCCACAGUGUUGGAGAUAGGCUGGCCAGUUGCAUCAGCAUGACAUUUGGUCAGUUUUUCUUGGUAUCACAUUGGUGACAGGUGGACUGUGAAGUGCGUUGGCAGUGAUGGGUCUCACUCACCUCUGAGUCCAGGGAGCCUGCCCGAAAAUUCUGCUCUGUGGUAUAAAAACCAUGCAUUUUUCUUGCUGAAGAGUUAGAUGGCAAAUAACUCCACACGCUUCUGCAUUGUUAUGUGUAUUUUAUUUAAAUUUGUAUUCCAUUGCUUCAUACAUUAUGAUUGGUUUAAAAAGUAAACUUUCCUUUUCUUUUAAUGACUACAACAGUUAAUGUUGGUCUCUCUUCCCAUACAGUUGAACAGUUAUUUAAUAACAAACAACUAAAAAAGUCCAAGACAAAUGUGACAGCAUUAAAAAAAUUAAAACACCAAACAGAGCUGAUGUAUGGUGGAAAAAAAGGAAUCAAUCACUUACUUCUCAGAAAGAUGCAUUCCCCUAAAAAUACCAAAAUUAAAAAAUUGUAUUUUAUGGGAAAGAGCAGGGAGUGUACACGUGCAUAUGCUGAUGCUUCCACAUCCAUAUCCCCAAACACACACAGAGAUAUAUACAUGUAUAUAUGCAUGCCCAUGCACAUACACAGACACACAUGUAUUAGACUGGACAAGUAACUUACUUUUUUCUCUGGGAAAAAAUUAUUACAACUUUUAAUUAUAUUAAUUAUAUCUGUCUUUAAAACAGGAAAACUUAUUAAAACACAAAACAGAAACUACUUUAAGAGCUCCAACAAAUUUGGAAAUCCCUGCCUAUUUAGCACAGAACACAUCAAAAAAAUCAACUUUGAUAACUUUUUAUUUAAAUGUACACACUCACCAGGUUCUUAGUGCUGAUUUGCCUUGCUUUGCCUUUGGAAUAAUCUCCAUAAUUAUUAAAAAUGUCUUUUAUUAAAAAUUUCUUCCAAUAGAUAGGAAAAAAAAAGUCUAAAUACUGACCACUAAACUGGAUGCCCCAGUGUUAUCCCCUUUCUAAAGCCCAUAGAGCAUGCUUUACAAUAGCAAUUAUAUUUCUAUUUUACAUGUAGUGACUGCUGUUUUGCUGCUCUUGCAGGAACUUCCUGCUCUUGCUUUUGUUCUUCUGAAGAGAUGGUAAACAGCCAGCCCUUGAUGGUCUCUCUUCAGAGGGCAUAGGUGAGAAGUAGCCCUUCUAGAGGCACAGAGGCAGGUGAAAAAGCUACUUUUUGCAACAGCAAUGUCCUUGGGGAAGCAAAAGGAACACUGAAGUACUGAAGGCUGGCUCUGAGACUUCCCAUCCAGAAAAUGAGAAACCUCAAGAACAUGCAAAGAAGGUAAAAAGCAAUAGGAAGGAGUAGCUUUUUGUGAGACAUCUCCAAAAUGUGUAAUUUAUUUAACCCAAAGGUGCUUAAAGUCCUUUUAGUCUGUUGUUAAUAGCGCCUUGACAAGAGUGGGUUCCCAACUACAAAGAGUAUCAUUCUCUGUAUUCUCUCCGCAGACAAGGAAUUUGUGGUCACUGAGGACAAUGUUCACCCAUUAAAUUUCUGCACAUCUUGAGUUGUUGUCUGUAGGUCCCUGUAGAGUUACACCUUAUCUGUUUUCCUCUCUUUCCCUGCCUUGUUCUUAAUGAAUCCAUUCAUCAGGAGAGUCAACUUGCCCAAUGUAAAUUUUGUUGCUUUAGAGCCUGAGUUCUUGGAGAAAAUUAGUAAGUUUUAGAAGUCUCCAGCUUCUCAAAUCUGACAGAAAUAAUCAAUUUCACUGUUGUGGAUUAGGAAAAAAACCCAGCCUUCAAAAGACCCUGGGACUCCAUUGUUCAUAAAACCUAAGGGGGGUUAUGUUCAGAUUUGUUUCAUAUUACAGUUGUCACCAAUCUAUGUUAACACAAACCAGAAGUUCGUUACAAAAUCUUGUACAGAGACAAUCAGUGAAAGCUCUCAAGUCUUUAACAACUGAAGCCAAGUUUGUUGCCAUAGGAACCUUUCACAACCUUUCAUUACUUCAGAGUAUUGCUGAGUUUCAAUCAGUUGAAAUGAUUCCUCUAUAAAGGCAGUAUGAAGUGCCUUGAAGCUUAACACAACAACAUCUUUAAAGGUAAGUACAAAGGAAAAAAAAAUAUGUAAGAAAAACAAAACCUAACUGAAGAACUAGAAAAGUGAUUAAAAAAACAUAACAAAACAAAAAAUCCAAACAAUAACCUCUUUUUUUCCCUCUCCUCCCCCCACCAUUCCCAAUCCCAGAACAUGGAAUGCUGCCAUUAUUAGAAACAUACGUAAUAAUAAGAUCAGGUAGAAAAAGCAUUAACAAGCAAAACACGAUUCUGUCAGUUUGUGGCCCUGAGCAAAUUACUGAUGAAGCUGGAAUACUUGAUCAGAAGAAUCAAGAGGAAGCUGCUUCUCUCUUGCUAUGGGAAGGGGUAAAAUAAUACUUUUACAUAGUGAUGCUACAUUCCAGACAUUUGUAUUUGCUUAUCAGCUGCCACAGUGGAACAGCAGAGAUGGCCUGUGGCAUGUGAUGGCCAGAUGGUGGCUGACUAGCUGUGCUUCAGGAGCAAGAGUACCUGUUGGGAGAUACUCAGCAGAAGACCACACCUUGUCAGGUGGAGGAAGGAAACUCCACGUUCUUUCUAGGAGAAUAAGCAACCAAAACAAGUAUACUUUUCCCUCCUUUGCAGCUGGUUCAUCUCCUGUGUAAUAAUGGGCUUUUAACAUUACAGGGAUUUUGGCCAGGUCAAACACAAGUCCUCUAGGGUUCAACUCUGCAUUUCACUCUUUUGCUUCAUACAGUGUGCCCUACCAGAAAAUGAAACAUAGGGGUUCGUGGGGAAAAAAAAAAAAAAAACAGUUAAAAAAAAGGAAAACGCUUCCAACUGAUAAGUUUUGCAUUCACAAAAAUGUAUGUGUUCACAAAAAGGUAACUGAAUUUUUUCUCAGGUAAUUUUUUCUCAGCCUAAUAUUCAGACUCACUGCAGUGAAUAGUCUCAAAACAGCAUAUCAUAAGUAGUGUAAUAAAAUGAAGACUAAAUUAUGCAUAUUCAAUUUGUGUAGUGACUUUAAUCUUUAUGUGCUAAAUUGCACACCUUUGCAUCUUUAUGUUAAUCUUUCAAAUACACUGCUGCCCAGACUGAGAGCACUACAUGGCAACUGUCCAUGGUGGCAGUGAAAUUCAAGUGCACUGCAACAGCUACAGCUCCAUCUCAAACAGUGCCGUAGCCCAGACACUUUGGAGGAGUUCAAGACACCCUUUAUAAAGCAAUUGAAGUCAUAAUUCCAGGCAGUUGCCAGCUACGUGAACCACUCCAAAGAAUUUAUAUUUUUCAUCUUCUUUGCUAUGAGGCAAGCUCAAGAGUAGCUGUGGCAAUGAAUUCCAGAAGCUAGUUUUAUCCUGCAGAAGUGCCAGCAGAACAGAAAUCAUCUGUGUGCGUAUUCCAAUCCCCAGAGAACUAACCUGAUUGCAAAGACUACCAAAGGAGGUAAGCACACUUAGGUCCGUCCUUUUGAAAGCAAAGGAUAGUGCUGCUUUAGUUCUGCUGAUAGAGAUGCAGAAUGACCCCAUCAUAGGUAUACCAAAUGUUCACAGACAAAAGCACUUUUUCCCAGCAAGAAUUUUACAAGUUCUGAUUUAAGCAGGCAGGCAAAUAAAUCAUCAUGUGCUACAACAUUGAGCAAGAAAAUAUUUGCUGUUACUCUUUAGUGUCUUCUACCGCUCUAUUUCAAAUGUUCCAAUCACUGGAUACUCCAUGAGAUUUUCUUCUGUUUCUGUCUCAGAACAUGUAAACAUACCUAAACUUAUUCAAGGAGAAGGCAGAAACAG